rnacentral:tRNA from 1 species
GGGGAUAUGGUGGAAUUGGCAGACACAUGCGACUUAAGAUCGUAUGCUGUGAUAGCGUGAGAAUUCAAAUCUCUCUAUCCCCA